GAAAAAGUGGGGGGAGAAUCAAUGAGGCCUGCUUCUCAGAAAUGGGGCUACAUUCGGAUCAUCAGUGGUACAAUCCUCGGAGGCAUCCUCGGAUUCUACGUUAUGCACCGUGCUGAAAUUAACUAUAAGGAGAAAAUGAAUGAAAGGCUAAGAAACUAUGAGGCUGAAUUGAAGAGGAAGAAGCAGGAGAAAUUGAAUGAGUUUGAGGAAUCUUCCAAGUUUUGAACUUGCUUUCCAGAUUCAUCUGGUGUCCACCCUUGUCUUCCUUUGCUUCUGUAAAGAAUGAAUUCAACCUAAAAGCUUAAGCUGUUAGUACAACAUAGUUUCUUCUUCUUCACAUGACACAUCAUCAUGUACAACUGAAACAUUCACACGGGACGAUGUCUUUGGCAUAUCUCAGUCUGGACCUGCUACAAAAGACCACUCUUGUUAUCUCCAAGACUUCUUCCAUAAAGUCCAACUAUGCAACCAUGGUUGUAAUUCCUUCCAUUUGUCAUUGAGGGCCAUCUGGUUGGGUUCAUUCACAACGGGUUUAUUGGCUAAACUUCAAAGUUGUUCAGG